UACGUAGGGUGCAAGCGUUAAUCGGAAUUACUGGGCGUAAAGCGUGCGCAGGCGGUUUUGUAAGUCUGUCGUGAAAGCCCCGGGCUCAACCUGGGAAUUGCGAUGGAGACUGCAAGGCUUGAAUCUGGCAGAGGGGGGUAGAAUUCCACGUGUAGCAGUGAAAUGCGUAGAGAUCCGGAGGAACACCAAUGGCGAAGGCAGGGUCCUGGCUGGCACCUGACGCUGAUGUGCGAAAGCCAGGGGAGCGAACGGG
rnacentral:rRNA from 1 species